rnacentral:rRNA from 1 species
CAGCAGCCGCGGUAACACAGAGGGUGCGAGCGUUAAUCGGAUUUACUGGGCGUAAAGCGUGCGUAGGCGGCUUCUUAAGUCGGAUGUGAAAUCCCUGAGCUUAACUUAGGAAUUGCAUUCGAUACUGGGAAGCUAGAGUAUGGGAGAGGAUGGUAGAAUUCCAGGUGUAGCGGUGAAAUGCGUAGAGAUCUGGAGGAAUACCGAUGGCGAAGGCAGCCAUCUGGCCUAAUACUGACGCUGAGGUACGAAAGCAUGGGGAGCAAACAGGAUUAGAUACCCCUGUAGUCCCUGUCUCUUAUAA